rnacentral:lncRNA from 1 species
GCUUGGAGCUGUGAGGGAAUUCGGAGUGGCCACCCGUUCUAAAAGUUUGAUUUUCUUCUGGUGAACUGGAUAUCCUUUUAUUUACGUUUGAGGUUUUGGGUUUUUAAAUGUAAUAAGGCCGCUUAAUUAUUUUUGAUGGUUUUAAUAUGUGUUACUAAGAUAGGUAAUAUUUAUAUUUAACUGUUGAAAUUGGAUAGCUUUAGGGCGCGUUUUCAAAAACAGUAAUUGAUUUCAAAAUAACACGAAAACAAGCAAAGCUUCUGCAAUGAAGAUAUUUUCCAAAAUUAAUCACUUUUCCUAAAAAGG